CACCGCGGUUAUACGAGAGACCCAAGUUGACAUACAAACGGCGUAAAAAGUGGUUAGUACUACAUUUGACUAAAGCCAAACAUCUUCAAAGUUGUCAUAUGCUAUCGAAGAAAAGAAGCACUUUAACGAAAGUGGCUUUAAACAAUACAACCCCACGAAAGCUAGGGAA
rnacentral:rRNA from 1 species